CUUAUCCUGUAGCCGGUAAAGUUGGGUUUACAAGACUCAAGCGGAUUUGAUUCCGCGGUCUUCACAACACCACUCAUCCUGGUUCUUAUCUUGUACUUGUCGCUGGUUUUGCCUGGCAUUAUAGGAAAGUGCGACAACUAAAGCGAACUAUAAGAAAAUCGGAAGAGCAGGCUGAUUUUCAAAGGAGCGAUGAUCAAAGCCAAAUUGAACUCAUCUUCAUGGAUUAGAUAUUGUUGAAUG